CAAGGGGCUUGUCUCAUAGUCACUCAAAACCUCUACAAUGCAUAUACAAAAAACACUUCCAAGGAAGAACUUUUUUAGAAUCUUAGCCAAGAAUGUCUACUUGUUGCCCAAAAGGGGGGUAAUUCCAUUCAUUUUUUUCUCCUCUAUUUUUUUCUCUGACACAAUACAUGUCUUCACGCCCCUGCAUAACAACCAUAAAAUAUCCUUUAUAUGAAAUGAAUCUUAGUUCAGGAUUCUUGAUGACUGCGAUUAACUUUGGAUGUAAAAACGCUUCCAAGUUUUCACGCGAACCAACUUUAAAGCUUCAAAUAUGCAAAUCCUCUCCGUAAUCAAUACUGAUAUUCAGGACCUAUGCUAUUAUUGUUAUAGUGUCACUCUCAUCACAGAUUCUAUGAAAUAUAAAAUUGUUGAACUAGAGCCACACGAUAUCGUUUUAAUUGGAAGCUUUGAUUUGGGAAUAUCAUACUUUUUUUCAGCUCUGUUGCAUUUCCUCUGUAGGUGGCUGUGUGUACGGACAGCUACAAUGAUCCAUAUCUUUCAUCUUCCCGAGGAAAUGGAAAUAAGCAUGUCUCCAACGGGUUCUUGAUUAUCAAUGUUCCACAGAUCCCCAAAACCCCCACAUGAAUCCCAUUCCUACGCUGAUGGAGAACCUCGCUUUUCAAACUUACCUCAAUCAUCUGUUGUCUUCUUCAUCUCUCCAGGGGCUGGGCCCACCGAGUCAGUACACUUGGUUUACAGUGGAGACCAACAACGUGCGAGGUCCCUCGUAAAUUGACGGGAUCAUUGAGGGUCUGGACACUGGUUGCUGUGUGGGGAUUUGACCAGACAAUGGUAUAUGACAGGUUUCAAGUGAUUCAGAAAAGUCAGAGAUGCCAUACAUGGGGAAUAGGACCGGAUAAAGCUCGUUCUGAGAGAGGGUCGAGUGUUUCUAACCUUUAUAAGUUCCAAUCUUCUUGGUAUCUUUCCCGUCAAGGGAUCAUUGAUAAGUUAAGGUACCCAACCUGAAAAAAAAAGGCUGGUAAGUCUUGGGAAGUCUCCAGAAAUAUGACAGAGGAGAUCGAGAAUAUUCACAAGGUAAAGGAUGGGACGCCUGAUAUUCAAGUGUUCUUCCCUUUGAAAACCACUUCAAGUAUCAGUUUCAUAUCGACUCAGUAUCUAACUUAAUCUCAGUUUCAGGGCACUCAGAUUCCCUAACAGGGGGGAAUUUUUCUGACAGCUAUUUUGAGAGAGGGCCAGUAUGUGAAGAGAGAGCGGCUACAUAUUUGUGAAGGAACGAUUCCAGCAAAGGGAAUUAUUCCGAAUACGGCGAAUCCAAGGAUGGCAUUGCUUUCUCCAUCCAAGAUGGAAGGUUUCCGGAUUAGUUGAUUGUCCCAAUAUCAAGGUUCCCAUGUUGUACAAUUCUGCCAGGUGGAAGGGACUUCCCCGGAAAGAUUAUUCUUACUGAGCAUUAAGAAUUUGAGGAAAUUUUGGGAACCUAUUGAGCAUGUAUAGUACAGCAGACGUGUUGACAUAUCAAGGAAAUACAAGUCGGACUAUCCUUCCAAACGUCGGGAAUUAUCCAGGAUAGAGAUUAUUAUAGAUGGCUGAUUUGUCAAUAGAACUGUAGAUUACCUAUGGACAAAAAAGGGAAAUGCUACCAUUUAGAGAGUUCAUAGAAAUAUCUAAGUCUGUCAAAUAGGGCAUUACUUCCCAAUGUCUAGAGGAAUGGGUCCAGAGGACAAGUUAGUCAUCAGAAUAAUGCACUCACAUUGGAAAAGACCCCCCCCCCAAAGUGGGAAGAGACCUCAAAGCGGUCCGAGCUUAGAUCGACUGUGGAGUGGUGUCGAACUCUAAUGAGUUCGGCACUGUCCCGCUAUAAGGUAUUGUAAGCUGAGCUACGUCUAGUUCAUUGAGCUGCAAAUCCAACUUCCAAACCAUAUGCGGGUGAUCUGAAAAUUACGGCAUUGUUGAGCAACCAGCAAGUUUUCAGGUCAUUUUGAUUUCGAAGCCAUGUAGGGAAUCUGGGCCCAACUUGGCAUGAUCUGGUAUUGAUGUACUGAGUUUAAAAAAGGGGAAGCCAAUGAGGCAUCGAUGUCAAAGAAUAAUGAAACAUUUGGUGAUCCUUUUUUCAUUGACAACCAUUAAGCUUGAUUAGAUUUUGCCCAAAAACCCCCCCCCACCAAAAUGAGCUUCAGUUAUGAACCUCACAUGGAUUAUCUGAGAGCUCCAGCACAUCCAAUGAUGACAGCUGCCAGAGACUUGGGGGAUGUGCUACCUCUCAUUCUGAUUUUGAGAGAUGUCCAAUUCCUCCAAAAUAUGAAAUUCUGAUGGAGUUUGGAAUCGACCUUUGAAUGCGUUAGACGGGAAUCGAAGAUGCCGCAAAUCCUAUAGGUCUCCCAAUGAAGUGGGCAGAUUGCUUGCCAGUUGGUUGUAUCCCAGGUCCAGCGUCUCCAACCUGCUAUUAGGGCAUCCAGCCAAACCAUGAUUGACCUGAUCACCAGUGAUUCGUUGACAUUUCGGUCUCAAAAAUCUGCAAUUGCAGAGCUUAAAAUGCUUCCGUAGCCCACCUUGGCGAUUGUUGGAGUUGAAAUCAAGUUGGACAAGGGCAUCAAGAUUAAAACAACCAGUUGGGUAUUGUGGAGUUGAAGCCGGUGUUGAGAGAUCGAGAUCAAGUACGAAAGGGAUGUAAAAUUACUUGUGGAAGAGCGAGCGGUGGGAGGUUGAAAUGCUGACAUUGGGCAAGUGCAAUUCUAACAGAGAAGGAUACAUAUAAUUGUCCCCCGAAGCCAAUAAGGAUGCAGCCUUGCUAAGGUCAACACCUCCAAAUUAAGGACGAGAGAAGAAAGACAGAUAUCCAUUUCAGAUUCAUCGGCACUGACACUCCAACGUUAGAGUUGAGACAAACAGAUCAAGGAAAAACGUGGAAAGGUUUCCGAGAUGGGAGGCCAUGUUCCCAAAAGAUGCACCACCAGAGAGAUUGAGAUAUUCAACUUCGUGAGGGAUGCCAGAAUUCGGGAUUCGGAUCCCUCCAAAGUUAGUUCAUGAUCAAAUCUGAGUAAGUCAAUACUUCAAGUUGAGCCAAAGUAGGAAUGAUCUCACUUCAAGUCCCCCAGCAAUUACAUUGCGGUCAUUAACUAUCAGGAAAUUGAUUUGCGAAGGUUAAGGUUGAUGACAUUUCCAGUUUGUUGUUGCAAUCUCACGCCUAGACCAAAAUUCACCAAACCCCCAGACACAUGUUAUACCCCACCCGACGAAGAGGUGGCCUAAAGGAUGUUAGAGUUUUCAAAAUAUCUGGUGUUAAUGUUUGGGUUUUGUAAAACUUCCUUGUUCCUUUAGGAUUCUCACUUUGGUAUGUGGGCUUUGUCCCACAUUGGCUCUAGAUUAUGGAAAAGUUACCUUCUUUAUAAAUGGAAAGAUUCUUAAAGUAUUAAAUAUUUUUGGAUCGCAAGGGGCUAUGUAUGUGCUUGCAACGUAAACCGGCGAAGCGACGAUGCUCUGCACCAUGAACCACACCAGGCCGCGCGUGUGCGUGGCAGUGGGCUGUGUGGCUGCAAAUGUUGGCGCUUUUGGCGCACGCGCGGGACUAAAGGAUGCGAUGGUUCGAAAAGAUUGCGAUCUCAACCGUUGUCGUAACAGUGUGAUUCCAACGGUAUAAUUUCAAUCCGAAAGUUGGACUAUUCGGAUUGAUCCAACGGUCACACACUUAAGCGAAAUGUUUGGUGAUUGAAAAGUGCGUGGUAGCCUAUAGACUAGUCCACCUCUUAUAACGAUUAUUAUAUCAGACAAAAUCCGAAAUCUUUAGGAGAAGAAAUAAUACUAGUAAAGUCCAUAUCAAUUUUGAGCAGUUAUCUAAAGAUUUUGAUAUUCUGCAACGAAGAAACAAAAUCUUAGAGGUUUCAAAGUUCUCCUUCUUAAGAAAAGCAGAUAUUCUGACUGUUUGUUUGUGCCAAACAAGAAUAGUCAAGCACCUAGAGUUCGCCUGCUUCAUUGUAUCUUGAAAGCCAGAUUUGCUGCUAACCGUUGACACACCACAUAGGUGGGGGCAAAAAAAAUAUGUCUUUAGGAAAAACGACACCACGACUACCAUUAUCGUAUUUUCACCAAAAAGAUCCGUGAAGACUCUUUGAACUUAAGAAGUGCCUUCUUCUCUGUUCAAAGCAACCAGUUGUGAUGACAUUGUUGUAGCAGGAGGGUGAGUUUAAGGAGGUGAGUUAUUAAUGGCUUCAAGGUAAAAAAUUCCGCGACAAGGAGACUGAGGACAGAGAAGUUGAGGGAAACCAUUUUUCAGACCCACUUGUUUUUGAGGCCAUGUAUGCCAAUGGAGUGUUUGUUAGUGUAAUACGUAAACAACUCUCGUCGUUUUAUAUAGACCAACUUUCACAUGCCAAUGUGCAAAACAUAUAAUGGGGAAGGGCUCAGGUUUAGCUGGAACUAUCGAAAAACUGAAUAAUCUACACCGAGCUUCAGCACGUCUGAACACCACAUCAUUGUGCUGAGGUGGAGAUUUAGCAUGGGUUAGUAGUUAUUGGCCAACAUAAAUGAGUUAGAAACUUGUCACAUUUAUCUCUCUUAAAUUUACGUACCACUGGACUGUUUUGACAUGAAAUGCAAUCCUACUGACCAGUGUUGGAAGGGAAGAAUCUCUAGACUCUGCGUCUGAGUGGACUUCGACAGGUCUUGUCCACUGAGAAUUUUAAGGUUUCGGUGCAAAACAGUUCUUCUCAAUGAAAAAAAUAUUUGUACAAUGAAGGAUAACUUGGGAAGAUCUGGUUUUGGAAGGUUGAAGGCAAUUAUCCAGAAAGAUUUUCAACCAUGAAAGUGUUCAUGUUCCACCCAAGCACAUGAUGAAGCACAAAUCUCAGUUUAAAAGAUAAAGUAAAAAUAAACUUUUUAUAUUUAAAGUUUACAAGACAAAAUACAAAUGUAGAUAGUCUAUCAACUAGUAAGGACAUCAAUUCCUUUAUCAUGAAACAUAUGUUUCUGCAUCCCAACCCGCCAUGACAGUUUCCUUUUAAGCUUCA
rnacentral:lncRNA from 1 species